CCUUAUCCUUUGUUGCCAGCGAUUAGGUCGGGAACUCAAAGGAGACUGCCAGUGAUAAACUGGAGGAAGGUGGGGAUGACGUCAAGUCAUCAUGGCCCUUACGACCAGGGCUACACACGUGCUACAAUGGCGCAUACAAAGAGAAGCGACCUCGCGAGAGCAAGCGGACCUCAUAAAGUGCGUCGUAGUCCGGAUUGGAGUCUGCAACUCGACUCCAUGAAGUCGGAAUCGCUAGUAAUCGUGGAUCAGAAUGCCACGGUGAAUACGUUCCCGGGCCUUGUACACACCGCCCGUCACACCAUGGGAGUGGGUUGCAAAAGAAGUAGGUAGCUUAACCUUCGGGAGGGCGCUUACCACUUUGUGAUUCAUGACUGGGGUGAAGUCGUAACAAGGUAACCGUAGGGGAACCUGC
rnacentral:rRNA from 2 species